rnacentral:lncRNA from 1 species
CCCCUGGCCUGGGACCUGGAGCCUCAUCCCUGAUUCGCUUCCCUCGAAUUCCUUAAUGUCCACUUCUGGCUCUCCCAGUCCCUGUGCAAGUCUCCCGGUUCUGGCUGCAACUUCGCACUCCGCGCCUCUGGCAACCAGAAGAGACCCUGGCAUCUCCAAAGCGCUUUAUCUCAGUCCAUUGGAACCAGUCGUGCUGACCGAUUCACACCUCGGCUAACGCACACUCGCGGGGGUGAUGGCCUUCCCUUCCCCUCCCACCCCCGUCAGCUCCCAGUUUGGCAGGGAUCCUUAGCGGUAGAAGUGUUCAGAUGCUGGACUGAUGCAGUGACAACCUGCAAGUCCCUUUUUUCCUCUUUCCACCUUCUAGUCUCCCUCCAGUGCCUCCUCUUGGCAGAACCUAACAAGAAAUCAGCUGACAAGGGAGUCUGGGAACCAGUGUCCUGUGAUCAACCUGGGGAGAACGGAAUCUUUCCUUCAGAGAACUUGGUAUAUAUCUCCAUUGUUUGAGUCUUCAUUAAAGUUUAUAAUUUUCCCUGUAAUGGUUUUAAUUCAUUCAUUAUUGUUAAGUGAUAAAUUCAUUUAAUUCAUUGUUAGAUUUAUUCCUAGGUAAUUUAUGUCCUCUAAGACUAUGGCAAAUAUUAUCUUCUUUUUAAUUAUUUUUGUUGCUGGUGUAUGAAAUUGCAAUUUAUUGUUUUAUAUUAAUCUUUUAUUGAGCUACCUUAUUAACUUAUCUUAUUAGAUUGAAGUAUUUCUAGAUUAUUUUGGGUUUUAUAUGUAAAUGAUCAUAUCACAAGCAAAUAGUGAUAAUUUUAUGUUUCCUUCCCAAUCCUUCUGCAACUGAUUUGUUUUACUUAAGUUAAUAUACUGGCAAGAACAUCUAAGGAUAGAAAGGAGUGGUGAUCAUGCACAUCCUCACCUCAUUCCAGAUUUUGAAGUGUAAGCUUCUAAUGUUUCCACAUUUGCUUAAUUUUUUAAAUGUGCUUUUUAUUUAUUUAGUUAUCAUUUUUAAAUUAUUAUUUUAUCUUAGAGACAGGGGCUUGCUAUAUUGUCCAGGCUGGUCUCGAACUCCUGGCCUCAUGUGAUCCUCCCACCUUGGCUUCUUAAAGUGCUGGUAUUAUAGGAAUGAGUUGCUGCAACUGGCCUAUAUGUGCUUUUUAUCAUUUUAAGGUUAUUCUCUUCUAUUCCUAAUUGACUAAAAGAUUUUUUUCUUUAAUAAUGAACUAAUGAUGAUUUUUUUCAAAUGCCUUAUCUAUACCUAUUAAAAUUACAUAUGGUUUUUCUCUUUUAAUAUGGUAGUAUGGUGAAUUACAUUUGUAGAUUUUCUAACAUUAAAUCAACUUUGCCUUCUUGAGUUAAACCAAACUUUGUCAGUGUAUUAUCUUUUUUAUACACUGUAGAAUUUAAUUUACUAAUACAAUCUUCUAUUUAUGAUUUUUGCUUCUAUAGUCAUAAAUGAAACAGCCCUGUAAUUUUUCCUUUUCUUCUUGUCAUAGUCUGGUUUUGGUAUUGGGGUUACAGAGUCCAUAUAAAAUGAGUUGGAGAGUAUUUCCCUUUUUUUCUAUUCUCAAGAAAAGUUUUUUAUGAGACUGGGAUGAUCACUUCCUUUUAAGAUUUGUGGGAACUUGCCUGUAAAAUCAUUUGGGCCUAGUAUUUAAUGUGGGAUUAUUUAACAAUACUGCUUGCAUUUUUGUAAUUGUUGAAUUCUCAGAUUUAAAAAAAUUUCUUCUUGAGUACAUUUUGUUAUUUUCCUAGGAAACUGAGUAUUUAUCAAACCUUUCAAAUUGUUGUUGAUAAAAUUCCUAUUUGCUUGUUAAUCUGUACUUUAUCUAGAGUGUGUUCCCUUUUUAAUUUGUGCUAUUACUUCUUUGUGAAUAAUUUGUCUUAAUUUAUUACAGAUACUUAAAUUAUAAAAGUUUUCAAAUUACUUACAUGUAUAUAUACA